GCAUCUGCAAUUUGUUGCCAGACACCGGAGAGACGCAGCAAUUGUCUAGAAGUGGAGGAUUUUGUGCAGAUCUUGCCCAAGGAUCGAUCAGUUAUCAAGGUUUGGGCACCUCUCUUUUCCUGUUUCUUCGAACAGGAAACCCAAACUGCAACGGAUGUCCAGGCAGAUGAUGAAUCAUUGACCAACGAAAGAGACAUUGUCGCCCAUGUUGCCAAUUUGCAUACCAGAUUUAUGCCAAUGUGGGUGGGCCCUGUCCGGCCAACAACAACAACAACCCAUGCAAGUCGCGUCAAAAUGUCAAUUCAAUUUAUGGGCACAACCCGCCCGGCAUACACAAAAGCCCAGUCACAUCCACAGCCACAGCCACAGCCCAAUCCAACCGAUCCACUAUCAACAUGUUGCCCGUUCUAUUAUAUGCAUAUGCAUAUAGUACACGGAUAUAGUGGCAGCAUGUUGCUGGCCGACUCUAGGCCCAGACUGCUCGACUACUCGACUGUUUCACUGUUCCCUGGCAAUUAGUCUUAUGAUUUUUUUUUUUCCCCCCUUUUUGGUCACUUGAUGAUGAAUCAAAUGUCGUUGUGCCGAACGCUGCCUUUUAAGGCUGUCCCGGCGACAGCAUGACGUGUGCUGGCCAAAUGUGAGGAAAAUACAACAUCUACAAAUAAUCCCUGGAUACCGAGGUCAAGGGUAGUGCUAUCAUACUUAAUAGAGUUGGAGUUGGAGCUUUAAUCUACCUGUAUGCAUCUUGACAAACCUUUGAAAUGGGAUAUAUUGUAUAUUACAUCGAAGAUCUGAUUUUCAGGUAUCCCAUAGUCGAAUGACUAGAUCUUGCCGACUGGUUCUUUAUAUGACAUGCACAUACGCCCAAAUGAGCAAUACGUGCCAUUGUGCGUUGUCAUUGGCUAGCGAUGUGCGAUUUGCGAAACGCGAUUCUCGUUUUUCCCAUUGUGCGGCUAACAGUUGUCUGCCACUGUACACAUGUUGUUGUUGUUGUUGCUGUUGUGUUUGUAGUCUAAUAAACAUGCCGCCGUGCUGUCUGUCGGUGCGACACAUUUACUUAUCCGCCAGCAACAAUAGAUGAUGGGUGGGGAGAGGAGGAGUACAAUAAAAGUUAUAGAAAUUUCGGACAUCAAAGCAAAUACGAGAACGUGUCUCGCUCCAUUAGCGACCGUAAACACUGUUCGAUUUUAACAGCUCACUGUUAAUGGGAGAGCUCUGUUGUGUGGAGA